rnacentral:tRNA from 1 species
AAAUUUAGGUUAAACAGACCAAGAGCCUUCAAAGCCCUAAGUAAGUAGAUAUAUACUUAAUUUCUG